rnacentral:rRNA from 1 species
CGCGAAGAACCUUACCUGGUCUUGACAUCCACAGAAGAAUCCAGAGAUGGAUUUGUGCCUUCGGGAACUGUGAGACAGGUGCUGCAUGGCUGUCGUCAGCUCGUGUUGUGAAAUGUUGGGUUAAGUCCCGCAACGAGCGCAACCCUUAUCCUUUGUUGCCAGCGGUCCGGCCGGGAACUCAAAGGAGACUGCCAGUGAUAAACUGGAGGAAGGUGGGGAUGACGUCAAGUCAUCAUGGCCCUUACGACCAGGGCUACACACGUGCUACAAUGGCGCAUACAAAGAGAAGCGACCUCGCGAGAGCAAGCGGACCUCAUAAAGUGCGUCGUAGUCCGGAUUGGAGUCUGCAACUCGACUCCAUGAAGUCGGAAUCGCUAGUAAUCGUGGAUCAGAAUGCCACGGUGAAUACGUUCCCGGGCCUUGUACACACCGCCCGUCACACCAUGGGAGUGGGUUGCAAAAGAAGUAGGUAGCUUAACCUUCGGGAGGGCGCUUACCACUUUGUGAUUCAUGACUGGGGUGAAGUCGUAACAAGGUAACCGUAGGGGAACCUGCGGUUGGAUCACCUCCUUA